GGCAUUGUGGCGCCAUCCAUGACUGACACUAAACAUUCUAGAAGUAUUUCUGUUUUCAUGCAGAUACACACAGCACAGCUAGUUUCAAAAUUAAACCACAAUGAAAACUGUCACUACUGACAAGGAACUAUGCAAAGACCUUCGGUCUCAGGCCCUUGCUCACUCAGGAGUACCUUGAGACCUGUUUCUUCCUGUUCAGCUGCAGUCACGGUUCUAACCUGGUUCUUCUCACGGCUGGUAUCCUCUGACCUUUUAUGUCUUGGCAAUGACUUCCAUGCAUUUUGGCAGUGACUGCCUGAAUCUCUGAUUCAACCCUGAUCGCAGCCUCUCGGGCUUUCUCGCUCCUUUAAUUCUUUCCGCGGAUGGCCACGGCUUUUGCCGCCUGUACCCUUCCUGGAGCAACCCGUGCUUUUGAAAAAUGACCAUGCCGAAGGGGAACUAACACUCCCAGCCUGGUGCGGGUCUUGUCAAUCUGAUUUUUAAAUGAUGGAGGAGGAGGUUUGAGGACAAAGCUCAUGGUGGCAUUACCACUAUCAGGGACGCUGCAAAGAUCAAGUGAAAAGGGGAAAAGGCUCUUCUCAAUGUGAGCACAUUCACAGGCUCUGAGAACAGAGAGGUAUUUAAAGUGAACUGGAACAAACCUGCAACAUCCGUCAGAGAAAAACACUCAUUGAACCCUCCACUGGAAAGUAGCUGCAAAAGACCCCCUGAUCCCAAACCUGCUUGACAGACCACAGCCAAGGGCAGGGACACUCAACAACUGUAAACGAGGAACAUUUCACAGCGGCAGCUGGCCCCUCUCUUCUUCCAACCAGCCAAUAUUUUUUGUCUUUCUAGAAAACCUGUCUUGUUCAAAGGCCUGAUGGAGCUGAUUCGGUUGUGAUCCUGGGCAUAUGGAUGGCAUAUUUGCUGCGAGCUAGCCGGCCCCCGCUGCUGCGGACAAAUCUUUCAUUCAUGAACAGGAGCUUGUUAGGCCAACUCCGGACUCUAAAGCCACUUAAUUAAAUUGUGGAAAG
rnacentral:lncRNA from 1 species